UCAGAAAUUGAUGAAAAUAAGUACCGGUAAUGCUGCUUCAAGAUGGAGAAAUAAGUACCAGUAAUGCUGCUUCAAGAUGGAGAAAAUAAGUACUAUGCUGCAUCAAGAUCGAGAACCAGUUUUUGAGUUAGGAUAAACACAAACUGAUACAGAAAUCCUUGACGUCUCUCAGAGAUAAACUUAUUUUGUUGAUGUAUCUAUUUUAUUUGAAGAAUAUGUAAAUUGAAUUGAUAUUUGGUAUAGUGUAUUGGUUCACUGUUUUAGCUAUGGUGCAGUCGUGGCAUUUGAUUUUGAGAGUAAUGUUAUUGAACGAAGCACCAUGCUUGAAUUUCUUUGUUUUCAUGUUUUCCACAUAGUGGAAUUGUCAAUGACUAAAUGAUAUAUUAUGGAAAGAAAUAAAAAUAAAACCAC
rnacentral:misc_RNA from 1 species